GCUGCCAUGCUUCCCACCAUGACGAUCAUGGACUGAACCUCUGAAACUUUUCCCAAGGGCCUCGAUUAUAGGACUGUGCCUGGCACAAGCUCACUUCUGGCAGCACUGAAUGUUCUUGCAAGCUGACUUGAACUCCUACCUCCAACUACAAACUACUGGAAUUAUAGUCAUCUUGCAUUUUUAAAGUGAAUUUACCUAACCAGAAUGCUCCCCUGAUGCACCAUGAACUAGACAACCAGCGAAGAUUGUUCAUUGUUUUAUGUGUGAUAGUGGGUGUGUAGAAGAUCGUUCUUGUUCUCUGGAAUUACACAAUGAAGUAUUUUCAGGUCGACGUCAUCGCCCUCUCUGUGAUUUACUUUUAAAGUUGUUGAACAAGAAGAAAAUUAUAAGUGUAAAGAGUUUGGACAAUGGCUGGGUCUCUGGUGAGGAUACAGAUGUUUAUUGAAAUCUAUACAUAUAUAUGUGAAAAUAUUUCAAAAUAAAAAGUAGAAAGUAAAGGACUCUCCCUCUUGCAAACAAAUGGAAGUUUCCUACCAGUUGCCACUCAAAU